AUUAGUAGUGGUUUUCCCCCAAGGAUUAUUAGGAUUUUUCCUUCUUUGUCAUUAUAAUAUCGUAUGUUUCUGUUCCCACCAGGGUCAUGUUAUCACUUGUAUAACGAAAUAAGCUCUUAGUUAUGGAAAACUCAUGGUCUACCUUUGAUGGUGCCUCCCCCGGCCUGCAGUUAUCACCCAGUUGGGCGAGGUCCGGAGAGAUCCUGGUAGCCCCAGGUCCCAGAGAUGAUGUCCUACUAAGGAUGUGUCCUAAAGGAAGGCAUCGAUGUCACCAUUCGAAAAAGAAGGAGCGGAGACAAGAGGAAGAACGCGUGGGUUCUGGAUGUGCCUGGUUUCCGGGGCAAAGGCUCAGAGAAAAAGGAUCCUUUCUCCGAUUCUGCCUGUUUCCAUCUCCUGCUGCUGAUGGGAGGCCGGGGGGGCCCCCGUGUCCCAGAGGAAAGUUGCUCUGCCCCCAGAGCUGUGACGGCGGGAAGAGAAGGACCCGCUUCCUCCCUGCAUUCCAGCGGGUGACAAUGGCGAACCCACUCUGAGAGGGACGGCUGUGUGUCCAGCACAAGCCAGAAAGCCUAGUAUCUCGCGCUAUUUGCAAGCCUGCCUCUCGGACACAUCUGGCCGGCUGUUUGUCUUUGUUAGAAGGACCGACUGGUCACUUUGCCAGGGGACUCUCUACCACCCUCUGUCACCAGCAUCUGCACAGAACAGAAGGCUUUGGAGGCUCAGAUGACAAAAACAGUGCCUCUGAAGGGACCGAGAAAGAUAGUAGUGUUUCUGUGCGAAGCAACAGAAUGUGUAAGAGAAAGCGCCAACCAAGCCACACCAAUGAGCCAUUGUGAGGUCCUGCUUGAGCAGAAGAGGGAUCUGAGGCCACUAACAAGGGUGGGGGGGACACGACACGGCUUCGAGCCCGAGUGCCACCCCCAUCUGCCCCAGAGAACACAGAGCCAUUCUGCGGCCUCUGUUGCCUCUUGUGUGCCAGGCCCCGAAUGGGGGCUUCACCGCGUUGUUUACCUUGUUUAUGAUUUGUCUCUUUUCUCCUGUGGGAAGCCGUGAAGCACAGGCGUAUGUCUCAUGUACCCACCCCUGUAUACCCUGGGUUUGCCGCCUGGCAGGGGCUAAACCAAGAGCUGAGGGAAGGAAGACAGAGAGGAGGGAAGGAGGAGAGAGGGAGGCAGGGGAGAGGGAGGGAGGAACGUGCACCCUUAUCCGGUGACACUGCCCGCACCUCCCGCACCUGACCGGCUGCCAGGCGAAGGACCGCGCCGCCCCACCGUGCCCACCGCCGCUGCUCAAGGCCUGCCCGGCAGCGAGCGAUGCCAUCAGUAAACAUCUGUUGAGUGGGGUGUGGUCUUCAGCGCUUACUGGGUUAGCCGGAGAUUAGAUUUGAUACUAUAGCCAAAAAAAAAAAAAAAAAAAAGGUUAGUGUAACCAUGCUCAUAAGUAAGUACUUUAAAUGAAUGGGUUUUAUAAAAAGGGCAUUUUCCUAGCCAUUCUGGUAGCUAAUUAUUUUUGUGACUAAAAAUUCUAAACUCCAGGCACAUUUAAGAGCUGGAAGCAAGGGACUGGUGGCUCCCGGGACAAUCAGCUCCUUGCAGGAGGUGGGCAGCCGUAAUGUGUCGUGAGGCAGGUCAGCUCUGGGGCCAUUUGCAGGGCUAGCUCUGGGGGCUUAGCCGAGAUGAUCCCACCACUCCGCUGUCUUGCGACAUGAAGAGGAGCAUGUGGUCAGAGAGGCAGUGGCCUGUUCCCGUCACACCCGCUCAGGAUGACAGGCACAUGUUGCAAUGCUCUGGAGAAAGGAAGACAGGAAACCAGUGUGAGAUCCUACCCUUUCCUCAACGCUAGAUUCGACCAUUCCGUUCAAUCCCUGGGCUGUUUAUGAUUGAAAGCAGUACGGGUUUGAGUCCCAGCUUUGGCCCUUAGGUGGCUGAUUUGGGUGAGCCAAAGGACGUUUCUCAGUUUUCUAGUCUGUGGAAUGGGAAUAAAUAAUGUCUGUCUUGACA